UACAGAGGGUGCGAGCGUUAAUCGGAAUUACUGGGCGUAAAGCGUGCGUAGACGGUUAUCUAAGUCGGAUGUGAAAGCCCCGGGCUCAACCUGGGAAUGGCCGUUGAAACUGGCGAACUGGAGUGUGGCAGAGGGGGGUGGAAUUCCGCGUGUAGCAGUGAAAUGCGUAGAGAUGCGGAGGAACACCGAUGGCGAAGGCAGCCCCCUGGGCUGACACUGACGCUCAGGCACGAAAGCGUGGGGAGCAAACAGG
rnacentral:rRNA from 1 species